GACAGAGGGUGCGAACGUUGUUCGGAAUUACUGGGCGUAAAGCGCAUGUAGGCGGCAGCGCAAGUCGGGCGUGAAAUCCCACGGCUCAACCGUGGAAGUGCACUCGAAACUGCGCAGCUAGAGUCCUGGAGAGGAAGGUGGAAUGCUUGGUGUAGAGGUGAAAUUCGUAGAUAUCAAGCGGAACACCAGUGGCGAAGGCGGCUAUCUGGACGGUUUCUGACACUAAGACUCGAAAGCGUGGGGAGCAAACAGG
rnacentral:rRNA from 1 species